GCCUUAGAGAACCGUGGUUAAGGAACUAGGCAAAUUGACACCGUAACUUCGGGAUAAGGUGUGCCUCCGAGGUGGAGCAGAACAUGCCGAGCCAGAAGAGGUCGCAGAGAAUAGGGGGUAGCGACUGUUUACCAAAAACACAGGACUGUGCGAAGUCACGAAGACGACGUAUACGGUCUGACGCCUGCCCGGUGCUGGAAGGUUAAGAGGAGAGGUUAGACGCAAGUCGAAGCUUUGAAUCGAAGCCCCAGUAAACGGCGGCCGUAACAAUAACGGUCCUAAGGUAGCGAAAUUCCUUGUCGGGUAAGUUCCGACCUGCACGAAUGGCGUAACGACUUCCCCGCUGUCUCAACCAUGGACUCAGUGAAAUUGAAUUCUCGGUGAAGAUGCCGAGUACCCGCGGCAAGACGGAAAGACCCCGUGAACCUUUACUAUAACUUGACAGUGGUAUUCGGGUGGAUCUGUGUAGGAUAGGUGGGAGACUUCGAAGCGGGUGCGCCAGCAUCCGUGGAGUCAUCGUUGAAAUACCACCCUGGUCCUCCUGGAUGCCUAACGUGGGCGGCUGAAGCGUCAUCACGGACACUGUCUGGUGGGUAGUUUGACUGGGGCGGUCGCCUCCCAAAAAGUAACGGAGGCGCACAAAGGUUCCCUCAGCCUGAUUGGAAACCAGGCGAAGAGUGCGAAGGCAGAAGGGAGCUUGACUGCGAGACCUACAAGUCGAGCAGGUGCGAAAGCAGGUCUUAGUGAUCCGGUGGUCCUGCGUGGAAGGGCCAUCGCUUAACGGAUAAAAGGUACUCCGGGGAUAACAGGCUUAUCUCCCCCAAGAGUUCACAUCGACGGGGAGGUUUGGCACCUCGAUGUCGGCUCAUCGCAUCCUGGGGCUGGAGCAGGUCCCAAGGGUUUGGCUGUUCGCCAAUUAAAGCGGUACGCGAGCUGGGUUCAGAACGUCGUGAGACAGUUCGGUCCCUAUCUGCCGUGGGCGCAGGAGUUUUGAGAGGAGCUGUCCCUAGUACGAGAGGACCGGGAUGGACUGACCUCUGGUGCACCAGUUGUCACGCCAGUGGCAUAGCUGGGUAGCUAAGUCGGGACGGGAUAACCGCUGAAAGCAUCUAAGCGGGAAGCCCACCUCAAGAUGAACUCCCAGGGGUAACCCUCUGAAGGCCCGUCGUAGACUACGACGUUGAUAGGCUGGGUGUGUAAGCGUCGGAAAAGGCGUUGAGCUAACCAGUACUAAUAGGCCGUGUGGCUUGACUUG
rnacentral:rRNA from 1 species